GAUGAACGCUGGCGGCGUGCCUAAUACAUGCAAGUCGAGCGAACGGACGAGAAGCUUGCUUCUCUGAUGUUAGCGGCGGACGGGUGAGUAACACGUGGAUAACCUACCUAUAAGACUGGGAUAACUUCGGGAAACCGGAGCUAAUACCGGAUAAUAUUUUGAACCGCAUGGUUCAACAGUGAAAGACGGUCUUGCUGUCACUUAUAGAUGGAUCCUCGCUGCAUUAGCUAGUUGGUAAGGUAACGGCUUACCAAGGCAACGAUGCAUAGCCGACCUGAGAGGGUGAUCGGCCACACUGGAACUGAGACACGGUCCAGACUCCUAAGGGAGGCAGCAGUAGGGAAUCUUCCGCAAUGGGCGAAAGCCUGACGGAGCAAAGCCGCGUGAGUGAUGAAGGUCUUCGGAUCGUAAAACUCUGUUAUUAGGGAAGAACAUAUGUGUAAGUAACUGUGCACAUCUUGACGGUACCUAAUCAGAAAGCCACGGCUAACUACGUG
rnacentral:rRNA from 1 species